GUACACGCUGUGACUAGCAUAUCAAUAAGCGGAGGAAAAGAAACUAACAAGGAUUCCCCUAGUAACGGCGAGUGAAGCGGGAAGAGCUCAAAUUUGAAAUCUUAAAGGGUUUCCCUUUACGAAUUGUAGUUUAAAGAAGUGUUUUCUGUUGAGGUUUUGGUAAAAGUUCUUUGGAAUAGGACAUCAUAGAGGGUGAGAAUCCCGUAUUUGACCUUUACUUUCAACUUUGUGAUACACUUUCAAAGAGUCGGAUUGUUUGGGAAUGCAGUCCAAAAUGGGUGGUAAAUUUCAUCUAAAGCUAAAUAUUGGCGAGAGACCGAUAGCGAACAAGUACCGUGAGGGAAAGAUGAAAAGAACUUUGAAAAGAGAGUUAAACAGUACGUGAAAUUGUCAAAAGGGAAGCGUUUGACACCAGUGUUGUUUUUCUGAAAAUCAAUUAAAGAACUGUUUAUGCUAAGUUGUUUAGACUUUAUCAGCUAACUGUUUAGUUUUGAGCUUUUCUUUAAUGCACUUUUCAGUUAACAAGUCAACAUCAAUUUCUUUUGCUGUAAAAAAGCUUGAGGAAGGUGGCUUGAGAUUCGUCUUAAGUGUUUAUAGCCUCUUGCCUAUGCAGUCGGAGAGAUUGAGGUCUGCAGCGUAGAUCCUUCGGGGCUAAAUGCAUUUGUGCUAAGUUAUAGCAUUUCAUAGACAACUUGUUGACUAUGAUUUGUCUUGUAGCUUACUCGCUUACGUUAUUUUACCUACGCUUAGGAUGUUGACGAGACUGUCGAUCUC
rnacentral:rRNA from 1 species